CUUUUAAUACAAAUUCUAGUUCAUUCUUAUAAAACAUCCUUUCUCUAUAAGCUAAACUCCUAUAAGCUCUGCCUUCUCUCUAAAUCCACUCCUCACUGAACCAGAGAAUUCCAGUUUUGGUAAUGCCCUAACGAUCACGUAGUAGAAAGCUCUGUUUCCAUCCGAUCAAUUUUCCAAUUCUUUUGCCGGUAUUUCCAAGUUUCUCACGAUGCAAGGGGCUAACUGAUCUUUCCUAUGAACUUGAUUGUGCGUGUAGAGAGGCAGGAGAGGCCCCUCUNGAGCAGAUUCUAGAUGUCCCAGACGUUCCAGAUACUGCAGAUGCUGCAGAGUAGUAUAGUUUAGUUAUUAUCUAUUGUAUAUAACUUGGUCUUCUUUCCUUUUCUUCUUUUUGAAAGACUCUAUGACCAUAUGUAGAGCUUUUACAUUCCAUUUUGGAUGAUUGUAUUAUAUAUACUUCAUCUGACUCUACUCUUGACUGCUUUACUUUAUUAA